rfam:Chelonia mydas contig61110, whole genome shotgun sequence.
UCAAAGGCUCUUUUCAGAGCCGCCCACUUACUCUGUAAAAGAGCUU